rfam:Corchorus olitorius cultivar O-4 contig20503, whole genome shotgun sequence.
ACUCCAUGGUGUGAACAUUUUCGUUGUAAAUCCUUGAAUCUUUCCCAGGCAUCAUGAAGCGCUUCGUUGUCACGUUGCUUGAAGCUAGUGAUGUCAGUUCUCAGCUU